rnacentral:rRNA from 1 species
GACAGAGGGUGCAAGCGUUGUUCGGAAUUAUUGGGCGUAAAGCGCGCGUAGGCGGCCUGGUAAGUCGAAUGUGAAAUCCCGUGGCUCAACCAUGGAAGUGCAUUCGAAACUGCCUAGCUCGAGUGUCGGAGAGGGUGGUGGAAUUCCCAGUGUAGAGGUGAAAUUCGUAGAUAUUGGGAGGAACACCAGUGGCGAAGGCGACCGCCUGGACGACAACUGACGCUGAGGCGCGAGAGCGUGGGGAGCAAACAGG